AUGCAAAAUCACAUAUCGUUGAUUUUGAAUAAAUGAUAAUCGAUAAAAUCAACUCCCGUCAGUACUUCAGUAUUUUGAUUAAACUUGCAACCUAUUUUUUUUUUAUUAUAUUAUAAAAAAAAUAUGUAUUAUUUUCAUUGUAUUGGUAUCUAUUCUAUUUUCAUGUAUAAAUUAAUGUAAUAUGAUCAUGUAUGAUCAAUUAAGUAUUUCUAUUUAUAUUUUAUUGUGUAUUACAUCAAACAUGCAAUUCUAGUUAAAAUGCCUCUCCUCAUGUUCAGUUAUUUGUUGUUUACCUGUCAAAAACCUGUUAUACACAUGAUUUACGAAAAUACUAAUGUUUACAUGUUCUGAAUUAUCGUUCGUGUUUUGACACUACCCCCGUACCUUGUUUACAUUUUUACGGGAUCAAUUUAUUUGCUUUGACACGUAAUUAGAUCAAGUAAAUGUAUGACAACUGUUUUAAACAUGUUUAUACAUGUGUAUUUACCACAUUAAUCACCCUGUUCAGUUUCAUGCCAUUUUAAUGCUCUUUCUGCGAGAUUAUCGUCAUUUCACCGCUCACAAAUUUCUCUGUACAGAACAUGCUGUGUGACGGACCGCUUCACUCAUCGAAAUGAAAACGUAUUAUUCUAACAAAGAUUUUGUGUUAUGAACAUUUCUGUAUGCUUUAUUAUAUCAUGUAUUAUUGUAUUAAAAUGCUGACCACUAUU
rnacentral:sRNA from 1 species